rnacentral:tRNA from 1 species
AGGGAUGUGGCCGAGUGGCUGAAGGCGAGGGAUUGUAACUCCCUUGACAUCGUCAUCGUAGGUUCGAAUCCUACCGUCCCUA